rnacentral:rRNA from 1 species
GAUGAACGCUGGCGGCGUGCCUAAUACAUGCAAGUCGAGCGAACAGACUCGGAGCUUGCUCCUCUUGCGUUACCGGCGGACGGGUAAGUAACACGUAGAUAACCUACCUAUAAGACUGAGAUCCCUUCGGGAAACCGGAGCUAAUACCGUAUAAUAUAUUGCACCGCAUGGUUCAUUAGUGAAAGACGGUUUUGCUGUCACUUAUAGAUGGAUCAGCGCCGCAUUGGCUAGUUGGUGAGGUAACGGCUUACCAAGGCGACGAUGCGUAGCCGGGCGGAGCGCGGGAUCGGCGACACUGGAAAUUAGACACGGGCCAGAGUCCUAAGGGAGGCAGCAGGCGGGAGUCGGCCGCAAUGGGCGAAAGCCUGACGGAGCAAGGAGGCGCGAGGGAUGAAGGUUUGCGGAUCGUAGGACGCAGUUAUUAGGGAAGAAUAAAUGUGUAGGUGACUAGGCACGUCGUGACGGUACUGAAUCAGAAAGCCACGGCUAACUACGUG